AUUGAACGCUGCGGCAGGCCUAACACAUGCAAGUCGAGCGCGCGGCGGACGGGUGUGUAAUGCUUAGGCAUCUGCCUCUUAGUGGGGGACACCAUCUCGCAAGGGAUGCUUAUACCGAAUACUAAUAAAUGACUCUCAGUCGGAUUAGCUCGUGGGUGGGGUAAAGGCCUACCAAGGCGACGAUCUGUAGCGGGUCUAAGAGGAUGAUCCGCCACACUGGGACUGGGACACGGCCCAGACUCCUACGGGAGGCAGCAGUGGGGAAUAUUGGACAAUGGGGGGAACCCUGAUCCAGCCAUGCCGCGUGUGUGAAGAAGGCCUUAUGGUUGUAAAGCACUUUAAGCGAGGAGGCGUUACUCGCAGAGUAAGCACCGGCUAACUCGGUGCCAGCAGCCGCGGUAAUAC
rnacentral:rRNA from 1 species